rnacentral:rRNA from 1 species
GACGAACGCUGGCGGCGUGUUUAACACAUGCAAGUCGAACGGAAAGGCCCUGCUUUUGUGGGGUGCUCGAGUGGCGAACGGGUGAGUAACACGUGAGUAACCUGCCCUUGACUUUGGGAUAACUUCAGGAAACUGGGGCUAAUACCGGAUAGGAGCUCCUGCUGCAUGGUGGGGGUUGGAAAGUUUCGGCGGUUGGGGAUGGACUCGCGGCUUAUCAGCUUGUUGGUGGGGUAGUGGCUUACCAAGGCUUUGACGGGUAGCCGGCCUGAGAGGGUGACCGGCCACAUUGGGACUGAGAUACGGCCCAGACGCCUACGGGAGGCAGCAGUGGGGAAUAUUGCACAAUGGGCGGAAGCCUGAUGCAGCAACGCCGCGUGCGGGAUGACGGCCUUCGGGUUGUAAACCGCUUUCGCCUGUGACGAAGCGUGAGUGACGGUAAUGGGUAAAGAAGCACCGGCUAACUACGUG